rnacentral:rRNA from 1 species
CAUGCAGUCGAACGAGAUUAUCCAGCAUUGCUGGAUUUGAAAGUGGCGCACGGGUGCGUAACGCGUAUGCAACCUACCUUAAUCAGGGGGAUAGCCCGGAGAAAUCCGGAUUAACACCGCAUAAAAACACAGGAUAGCAUUAUCCAAUGUUCAAAUAUUUAUAGGAUUAAGAUGGGCAUGCGUGUCAUUAGCUAGUUGGCGGGGUAACGGCCCACCAAGGCGACGAUGACUAGGGGAUCUGAGAGGAUGACCCCCCACACUGGUACUGAGACACGGACCAGACUCCUACGGGAGGCAGCAGUAAGGAAUAUUGGUCAAUGGAGGCAACUCUGAACCAGCCAUGCCGCGUGCAGGAAGACUGCCCUAUGGGUUGUAAACUGCUUUUAUCCGGGAAUAAACCUCUUUACGAGUAGAGAGCUGAAUGUACCGGAAGAAUAAGGAUCGGCUAACUCCGUGCCAGCAGCCGCGGUAAUACGGAGGAUCCAAGCGUUAUCCGGAUUUAUUGGGUUUAAAGGGUGCGUAGGCGGCCUGUUAAGUCAGGGGUGAAAGACGGUAGCUCAACUAUCGCAGUGCCCUUGAUACUGAUGGGCUUGAAUGGACUAGAGGUAGGCGGAAUGAGACAAGUAGCGGUGAAAUGCAUAGAUAUGUCUCAGAACACCGAUUGCGAAGGCAGCUUACUAUGGUCUUAUUGACGCUGAGGCACGAAAGCGUGGGGAUCAAACAGGAUUAGAUACCCUGGUAGUCCACGCCCUAAACGAUGAACACUCGCUGUUGGCGAUACACAGUCAGCGGCUAAGCGAAAGCGUUAAGUGUUCCACCUGGGGAGUACGGUCGCAAGAUUGAAACUCAAAGGAAUUGACGGGGGCCCGCACAAGCGGAGGAGCAUGUGGUUUAAUUCGAUGAUACGCGAGGAACCUUACCCGGGCUUGAAAGUUAGUGAAUGAUUUAGAGAUAGAUCAGUCCGC